GACUCUUCAGUUCACCUUCUCACAAUGAGGCUCCCUGCUCAGCUCCUGGGGCUGCUAAUGCUCUGGGUCCCUGGAUCCAGUGGAAAUAUUGUGCUGACUCAGUCUCCACUCUCCCUGCCAGUCACCCCUGGAGAGCCGGCCUCCAUCUCCUGCAGGUCUAGUCAGAGCCUCCUGCAUAGUAAUGGAUACAACUAUUUGUAUUGGUACCUGCAGAAGCCAGGGCAGUCUCCACAGCUCCUGAUCUAUUUGGGUUCUAAUCGGGCCUCUGGGGUCCCUGACAGGUUCAGUGGCAGUGGAUCAGGCACAGAUUUUACACUGAAAAUCAGCAGAGUGAAGGCUGAGGAUGUUGGGGUUUAUUACUGCAUGCAAACUCUACAAACUCCUCCCACAGUGGUACAACCCCGAACAGAAACCUCCCUCCUGGGGUUGCCCAGUUGCUCACACGUGCUGCUUGUCUGGAGAGCAGCUCAGCAGGGUCUCUGA